AUGGUCGCUUGCAGUUGGAACUCCUCUAGGAGUGAUGGCACACGCGCAGCCGCAGCUAUCUCCGGCUGUGGUGGCCUCCUUCGCGUUGAACCACACAACCUCCGCCUCCCUACGACGCUGCAGGGCCGGAUCGAAGAUGUCGUCGAGGUGAUGGAAGCUGGCCCAAGCUGGAGCGCCAGCGUUGCGGGACUUGGAGUCGCGCUUGCGCGCCGCCUCCCUCUGCAUGUCCGACAUGGCAGGGCGGAAGCUAGAGCCGCCUGCCUCGUCGUCAUUCCUGCGCUUGCGGGCGAUGAGUGUUGA
rnacentral:rRNA from 1 species